UACGAAGGGGGCGAGCGUUGUUCGGAUUUACUGGGCGUAAAGGGCGCGUAGGCGGCCCUCCUAGUCGCGUGUGAAAGCCCCGGGCUCAACCUGGGGAAUUGCGCGCGAAACGGGGGGGGCUUGAGUUCGGGGAGAGGAGCGUGGAAUUCCCAGUGUAGAGGUGAAAUUCGUAGAUAUUGGGAAGAACACCGGGUGGCGAAGGCGGCGCUCGUGGACCGA
rnacentral:rRNA from 1 species